CCUACGGGAGGCAGCAGUCGAGAAUCAUUCACAAUGGGGGAAACCCUGAUGGUGCGACGCCGCGUGGGGGAAUGAAGGUCUUCGGAUUGUAAACCCCUGUCAUGUGGGAGCAAAUUAAAAAGAUAGUACCACAAGAGGAAGAGACGGCUAACUCUGUGCCAGCAGCCGCGGUAAUACAGAGGUCUCAAGCGUUGUUCGGAAUCACUGGGCGUAAAGCGUGCGUAGGCUGUUUCGUAAGUCGGGUGUGAAAGGCGCGGGCUCAACCCGCGGACGGCACAUGAUACUGCGAGACUAGAGUAAUGGAGGGGGAACCGGAAUUCGCGGUGUAGCAGUGAAAUGCGUAGAUAUCGAGAGGAACACUCGUGGCGAAGGCGGGUUCCUAGACAGUAACUGACGCUGAGGCACGAAGGUCAGGGGAGCGAAAGGGAUUAGAUACCCCAGUAGUC
rnacentral:rRNA from 1 species